UUGAUUUUUAGGAGCGGAACCUCU
rnacentral:siRNA from 1 species